AUAGUUUAUUUUAAAUAAACACAAGUCCGAAUACUUUGCGAAAGGUUUCAAAGAAUUCAAGAAAUGUAAGUUGAUGAGUAAGACAUCUAAAGUAUUUACAUCCUUAGAUUUGAUCUAAGGAAAUGGUAACACUUUUGAAUAGUUUUCCUUGAAAGAUAUCAAGGAGAAUAGCAUCAUAAGAUAAUGAAUUUCUCCAUUAGGAGAAGAACGAACUCGAAUAAGAUUUAGUUUGUUGGAUGUUAUCUAUUACCCAUAUAUAUGAUAUAUAUACUUCUAAAACAAUAUGAUUGUCAAUUAGAAGAUCUUCCAAAAAAUUUCAUGACUCCAUAGGAUGUAGUUGGAAAGAAAGACAAAUCUUAAGCAUGUUAAGAUUUGGGGUUGUGUGCUAAUAAGCAAUAUUUGUUUGAUAACAAUCUUGUGGGAUAUCCUUAAAUUAACUUUUGGAUAUCACUUCUAUAAACCAACUAACAAAUGUUGUUUUGUUGGGUAGUUCAAUGUAAUCCUAUGAUAGGAGCAUAUUUAUGCGCCUUAGUUAGUUAGUUCUUAUGCAUUUAUGUUGUGUUUUCUUAGUUAAGUUAGUCUUUUAAGCUAUUUUCAUGUGUUUUCAGGUUUUAGAGACAAAGUGAGCAAAAUGAUGUAAUUUGGAGCAUUUUGGAGCAAAAUUGGGCUAGAAUGAAGUUCAUGCACAUGAAGCACAAAGGAUGGACGAAUUUGAAGGAUUGAUGAAGCUAGGAAUGUGUUUCAAAGUUGAAGAAUUGAAGAUACAAAGUUUCCUAGUUGAAGUAGGAAAGGGCUUAAAUGAAGGAUUCCUAAUCAAUGUAGGAGUCCUAAUUAAAGAUGGAUUCCUAGACGAAUGAAGUUUCCUACUCAAGCAAGGUUUCCUAUAUGAAGAAGAAGAGUUAAAGCCAAAGAAUCAGCUCAAGAUAAGGAUCUUAUCCAAAAACCUCAUCCAUAACCUUAUCUUUAGCUUAUCUUAUCCAAACAAACCUUAUCCUAUCCUAUCUUAUCCUAAUCCUAAACUAUCCACAUCUCAGCCACUUAGGAGGGUUUCUAACUAGAUUAGGAUGCUUAAAAUGGGAUUUCUAGAAGACCUAAU
rnacentral:lncRNA from 1 species